UUCAUGCAGAUACACACAGCACAGCUAGUUUCAAAAUUAAACCACAAUGAAAACUGUCACUACUGACAAGGAACUAUGCAAAGACCUUCGGUCUCAGGCCCUUGCUCACUCAGGAGUACCUUGAGACCUGUUUCUUCCUGUUCAGCUGCAGUCACGGUUCUAACCUGGUUCUUCUCACGGCUGGUAUCCUCUGACCUUUUAUGUCUUGGCAAUGACUUCCAUGCAUUUUGGCAGUGACUGCCUGAAUCUCUGAUUCAACCCUGAUCGCAGCCUCUCGGGCUUUCUCGCUCCUUUAAUUCUUUCCGCGGAUGGCCACGGCUUUUGCCGCCUGUACCCUUCCUGGAGCAACCCGUGCUUUUGAAAAAUGACCAUGCCGAAGGGGAACUAACACUCCCAGCCUGGUGCGGGUCUUGUCAAUCUGAUUUUUAAAUGAUGGAGGAGGAGGUUUGAGGACAAAGCUCAUGGUGGCAUUACCACUAUCAGGGACGCUGCAAAGAUCAAGUGAAAAGGGGAAAAGGCUCUUCUCAAUGUGAGCACAUUCACAGGCUCUGAGAACAGAGAGGUAUUUAAAGUGAACUGGAACAAACCUGCAACAUCCGGUGCGUUCUGCCUUCAAAAAUAGCUGCCAGUUAGAAAGGGUUAUUUACAUAUUGAUUUCAUGCUAACUUUGUAAUGGAAUGUGCUGCCUGCCUGCCUGCCUGAGACCUAACAACUGUCAUCAUAAUUUUUUCUAAAAAUACAGUCAGAGAAAAACACUCAUUGAACCCUCCACUGGAAAGUAGCUGCAAAAGACCCCCUGAUCCCAAACCUGCUUGACAGACCACAGCCAAGGGCAGGGACACUCAACAACUGUAAACGAGGAACAUUUCACAGCGGCAGCUGGCCCCUCUCUUCUUCCAACCAGCCAAUAUUUUUUGUCUUUCUAGAAAACCUGUCUUGUUCAAAGUAAGUUUCCUGAGGCUUCCCCAGCCAUGCUUCUUGUACAGCCUGUGGAACUGCUGGAACUUACCAUUGGCUGUCCUGGUCCUCAGGCCUUCGGAGUCAGACUGGAACUACACCAUCGGCUUUCCAGGGUCCCCAGCUUGCCAACUGCAGACCUUGGAAUCAGCCUCAUAAUUGCAAAAACCAAUUUCUUAUCCAAAUAUUAGUAUAUAUAUGUAAUUUCUUACAAGAAAUUUAAGUAAACUUCAUAUGUAUAAUA
rnacentral:lncRNA from 10 species